rnacentral:piRNA from 1 species
UAAGAAUAGAAGAAAAUUGAGCAUGUUAGA